rnacentral:rRNA from 1 species
UACGAAGGGGGCUAGCGUUGCUCGGAAUUACUGGGCGUAAAGGGUGCGUAGGCGGGUCUUUAAGUCAGAGGUGAAAUCCUGGAGCUCAACUCCAGAACUGCCUUUGAUACUGAGGAUCUUGAGUUCGGGAGAGGUGAGUGGAACUGCGAGUGUAGAGGUGAAAUUCGUAGAUAUUCGGAAGAACACCAGUGGCGAAGGCGGCUCACUGGACUGGUAUUGACGCUGAGGUGCGAAAGCGUGGGGAGCAAACAGG